UACAGAGGUCCCAAGCGUUGUUCGGAUUCACUGGGCGUAAAGGGUGCGUAGGCGGCCGGGUAAGUCUGAUGUGAAAUCUCACAGCUUAACUGUGAAACUGCAUUGGAUACUAUCCGGCUCGAGGAAUGGAGGGGAGACUGGAAUACUUAGUGUAGCAGUGAAAUGCGUAGAUAUCAAGUGGAACACCAGUGGCGAAGGCGAGUCUCUGGACAUUUCCUGACGCUGAGGCACGAAAGCCAGGGGAGCAAAACGGG
rnacentral:rRNA from 1 species